AGGAAAAUGAAGACAGCGAUGGCCCAACCGCAGCUCGUGAGUACGCCUAAGAGAGGUGCUGACUUCUGAGGGCUCCUUUCUGUCACCUGGGGCCUGCGCUGGGCGCUCGCCCUCCGCUCUGCAGCGCCGGAGAGAGGCACAUGGUGCCAAGCUUGGAGGGAGGGAAGUGGCAGCUCUGGCCCCGGACACAGCGCCUCCUCCAGCCUUGGGGGAAGUGAGCACCUGGCCUAGUGAUGCAGGUGCCUGUGUCCACGUCAGAGAGCCUGGGUUCAAUUCCUGACCCCAGUCUCCUGCCAGUGCCAGCCCUGGAAUUGGCUAACUGCACUCCUGAGACAGACCCAGGCUGAGUUCCUGGCCCCAGCUGAUGCAGGCAUUUUGGGGAGUGAACCCGUAGAUGGUAGAUCUCUCCCUCUGUGCGUGCGUGUGUAUGUCUGUCUGUCUGUCUGCCUGUCUCCCAGCCCUCUCAACUGAAUCAACAAAUUUUCAAAAGCCCAAGAGUAACUGCGCCUGGCCCACGUCUGGGGUGGUGGGGGCGGGGGAGCCACCGCUGCUCUGAUACCGGGAGGCCUGGCCCCCUGCAGCUCUGCACUCAGCUGCUGCCCUCUGUGUGCUGGGGGCGGCGGGGGGGUGGGGGGGCUCAGCCUUCUUGCGCUGCUGUGACAAAGGUCCAAGACUGGGUCCCUUGUGUAGCACGGAAAUGGAUUUUCUCACCAUCCCAGAGACUGCGAGUCCGGGUGUGGCUGGUCCACGCCUGGGCUCCGUGGACGGCUGCUCUCUGCUUCCAACAAGGAGUCUUGGCUGCUGCUGCACACGUGGCAGAAGGCGGGGAGGGGGGCAAAUCCCUCGGUCAAACCCCUUUAGGAGGGCACCUCGUUCCAGUCCCGAGACAGGAUCCCAUGGGAUCUACUGAUGGCCACGCCCCACCUAUCACCUCCACAGCCCUCCCGUCCUUGAGACGCACAACACAUGGGUACCUAGUGAGCCGGGCGUCGGCCUUUGUGGGAGAACACAGGUU
rnacentral:lncRNA from 1 species